AAUUAUACACAUAUUUUUACUUUGCUUUAACAUUAUCGUUAUUUGAGUUUCGUGUGUGUUUUCUUUUUCAAAAUACAGAUAGAUGCUUAAUAUUUUCGCACACCGGCAUGUUUUAGUACACCACAGUUAGUUACGUCCGAAUAUAGAUUUUCGCCUAACUUUUCCCAGCCAUUCGUUUUUAAUAAGAAAAUUACAAACAGUUCAAAAGCGAUCUGAGCGACAGGCAAAUACAAAUUCAAAUAAUAUAUCCGAUUUGGAGAAUUUUCAAAGCAAAAUUAUUAGAGUCCAAACGCGAGGCAGCAGCUAAUCCAAUCAUUAAAGACCACGAAGAAGCAAAUCACUCGUUAUCAUCGCGACAUUUUGUCAUAACAAAACAUAAAGGAGUGGAAAAAGAAGAGCCAACGAAGAAGAGUCCCGAUGAAACCCGACCAGCUGAACCGCCUAAUCAAAGUCAAUAGCCGAAUUCAGCCUUGGUUUCUGCGCAACACAAGCGAGCUAUACGAAAGUGCCGUUAGGACUUAUUACGAGCAUGGCUACAGCUUACACAAUCGCCAACCACAUCAUCGAACAGAGAAUGUGGGUCCUUUGCGCAGGAUCAAGAAGGCGAAGCCGCAGCCUGAUAUUUACCCGCGCAGCCACAUCCUGCAGACGGAGCAAUUGCUGCAGUCGAUGAUGCAGGCGAAUCGUCCCCGCUCGAUGUCCUUUUCGGCGGCGCGUCCCUAUUCGGUUUAUGGCCAAAGUUCCGCGCGCAGUGCCGCCAGUUCGGAUUGCUCCAGUGCGAGCAGCGACCGAUCCUCCCACACCGAUAUCCUGCUGGGAUCCCUGCACAACAGCCGAGGAGCGAGGAGGGAGCGAAGGAGAUCGGAACGGAGGAGCAGGCAAGCCGUCAACGAGAAGGAGGAGCAAUUGAUGGAGUCGGAGGGCAUGUUCAGUGGCCGAUCGAUGAGCAUGCCGCCACUGCCGUCGGGAGCUGCUGGCCUGCGAUCCACUGUGACGAUGCCGCCGAGUCGGCAGCACCACAUGGCGGCCAUUGCGAAGUCCUCGCUGGCGCAGCACCUUCACGUGGCCCGCGACUGCGAUGUGGAGUCCCUGAUGCCGGUGGAUGCUGCCCUCAAGCGUCGCAUUUCGGUGAUUGCUCAGCUGGAGCAGGAGGCGGCGGAGGAGGGGGGACGGCGAGGAAGGGCCCGGGUCUCGGAACUGGGUCACCGAAAGGGAGGCGGCCAAGCCACCGGAAACGGCAGCCACAUCACCGGAAACGGUCGACAGCCGUCGGAGAUGCGCUUCCGCUUCCAGACUUUGGGCGAUCGCAUCAAGCAGUUCGAGUACAUCCAGUUCGCCGAUGGACCCGUGGCCAGUUACGCCUUCGACCGAAGUCAGCCGAGGUCCGCUGCCAAUGCCACUGCCCUCGUGCGGCGCCACAACACCCCAAGGCAUCGCAUCGACAACUCCACGAUGGUAUAUGGCGGCCAUCGCCGCUCGGAGCUGGGCCAACAGCCGCGCCAGCUGGGCUUCCACAAUGUCCUCCAUGCCAACUAUCGCCAGCGGAGCCGCAGCCUUGAGCAGCCCGUUCAGCUGAUGGAACACGUGAUCCUGCGACCCGCCACGCCAGUCGGUCCCUUCGGCAGCGGGGCCACCACGCGGGGAUCCAGCGUGGACAGCAGUUCGCGGACCACCUUCAAGCCGACCACUUCGGCAGUUACUUGGCCAAACAAAUUGGAAGGGAAUUCAGAAACUUCUGCUCAGGAAUCGAUUCAAAGUUUAGUGCCCAGUUUUGGCAACAUAAAAAUUACGGAAGAAAAUUCCACAGAUUGGGAUGAAGCUGCUGCAGAGGAUUGGAGUAAAUCACACAGUUCGAGCAGCUCUUUGGUAUCAAAUUUAAAAGCAGCAGAUAAGCCAGCGGUGGCAAGUUCCAGCAAAGGCAAAGAAAACUGUGCUGGAGUCUCCUCUGGAUCGAGUCAAAGAUCAAAGUUGAGCGCACUUAUGGAAUCAACUUCGGGCGAAACAUCAGGAUCGUCGCCAGUAAAUGCAGCAAAUGCAGAGCCACACAGAAGCCCCUUGGGUGUCACAUCCAAGCAUCCAGGCAGUUCAAAGGCGAAGGCCGGAUCGUUUUCCAGUUCGCUUUCUGGCCAAGAUGAGAUCAGUCGGGUCCCAUUGGCACCCGUGCGGCGACUGCAGCUGCAGCAGCGCAACCUGCAGACGGCACCCAAGGUGGAAGACCCGACGGCCAAGGACCUGCCACUCAGUCCCGUUCCCCUCAAGACCAAAGGCGCAAAGGACAAGCCUCUGAAGAAGAAGCUGCUGCUGGAGAAGCCGGUGAAAGUGGCGCAGGCGAAUCAGGACAAGCCGCGGGUGACGAAGGUCACCUCGAACCAGGUGAGCCGGUUCAGCCAUCAGGCCUUCCUCCACUCGCCCGAGAAGCACAAGCACGAGUUUCCUGCGGCAAGUCCUCCCAAGAAAUCGCAUCACGAUCAUCAGGAUCAGCUUGUGAAAAGGCCGGAAGAGAAGCAGCAGAAGCGAGAGCCACCACCAGCCAGAACGUCUGCAAAUCUCAAAGGAGCCAAUCAGCUGCUGGUGGCGAGUGCCUCGCAGGUGUCAGCCUACAAGCGCGCCUUCCGCACCCAGCAGCAGAUUCUCAAGGCGGAGAUCCUGCAAAAGCAGGCGCAGCAUUUGCAGCAAGCCCGGAAUGCCACAAGUCAGAAAACGCCCAAGCCGCAGAGCCAACGGUGUGCGAUUCCAGACGCCACCAAUCGAUCGGCAAAUCGAACGAUUGCUGGCCGCAGUGCAGCCACUUCGGAGGGCAAGGCCCACCCUUUGAACGCAAAACAAGCAUCCAAGGAUGCGGGUAAGGCUGGGUCGGAACUGAGGACAAAAGUGUUUACAGGAUCACCAGGAAAGACGGCAGCAAAUCCUUCAACAGCCGCUGCUUCUCGGCCGCCGGCAGCAAAGCGGACUGCGCAGCCGGGUGCAGCGAAAACAGGAGGAAUAGCAAAAACAACAAAGAAGGAAGCAGCGGUAUCAGGAGUUGUGCCCGCAGUAGCAGCAGGAACUGGAAGAAAAAGUGGGGGAGCGGGAUGGAAAGCGGGAAUGGCAACGACCACAGCAGCAACAACAACAACAACAACACGGCGAACGGCGCUGACGCUGGCAGCGCAGCAGCAGCACUCGCGUAAUGGUAAUUCGCUGCUUGGCUUUCAGCGCGAAACGGUUAACCGCGCAGCGGCAGCGCUGCUGCAGCGACGCGACGCAGACGAGCCGCUGUCUCAGUUGCCGUCGACGUCGGCUUCGCUGUCGCAGUCGACGCAGCAGCGGCGUCAGUUUCAUUUUUCAAGUCCCCCAUGGCGUCCCAGCUAAUGAGUGUUCACUGUAUCCCGAAAUUUAGUGCUGCUUUGUGUAGUAAAUGUCCCAAAAUGAAGCGUAAAAUGGUUGGACAAAUGCAUAGAUAAAUCCAUUGUAACGCUUAACAUAGAGAUCAGAGAAUCAAUGACAGACAAUAAAACCAACUAAAACUGUUGGGAGGUCCCUAAUAGAAAAAAAAAACCGU